rnacentral:misc_RNA from 1 species
GAAAUGCGAUAAUUAAUGUGAAUUGCAGAAUUCAGUGAAUCAUCGAGUCUUUGAACGCACAUUGCGCCCCCUGGUAUUCCGGGGGGCAUGCCUGUCCGAGCGUCAUUGCUGCCCUCAAGCACGGCUUGUGUGUUGGGCUUCCGUCACUGGCAACGGGGACGGGCCCAAAAGGCAGUGGCGGCACCAUGUCUGGUCCUCGAGCGUAUGGGGCUUUGUCACCCGCUCCCGUAGGUCCAGCUGGCAGCUAGCCUCGCAACCAAUCUUUUUAACCAGGUUGACCUCGGAUCAGGUAGGGAUACCCGCUGAACUUAAGC